UACGUAGGGUGCAAGCGUUGUCCGGAAUUAUUGGGCGUAAAGAGCUCGUAGGCGGCUUGUCGCGUCGGCUGUGAAAACCUGGGGCUCAACCCCGGGCCUGCAGCCGAUACGGGCAAGCUAGAAUUCGGUAGGGGAGACUGGAAUUCCUGGUGUAGCGGUGAAAUGCGUAGAGAUUGGGAAGAACAUCAGUGGCGAAAGCGCUCUACUGGACCUUAUCUGACAUUGAGGGACGAAAGCUAGGGGAGCGAAUGGG
rnacentral:rRNA from 1 species